rnacentral:rRNA from 1 species
GACGAACCGUGCAAACGUUGUUCGGAAUCACUGGGCUUAAAGGGCGCGUAGGCGGGUUCGUAAGUCUGUGGUGAAAGCCCCCAGCUUAACUGGGGAAGUGCCAUGGAUACUGCGAGUCUUGAGGAGGGUAGGGGCAUCUGGAACACUGGGUGGAGCGGUGAAAUGCGUUGAUAUCCAGUGGAACUCCGGUGGCGAAGGCGAGGUGCUGGACCCUUUCUGACGCUGAGGCGCGAAAGCCAGGGGAGCGAACGGG